rnacentral:rRNA from 1 species
GAUGGUAGGAUAGAGGCCUACCAUGGUGGUAACGGGUAACGGGGUGUUAGGGCACGACACCGGAGAGGGAGCCUGAGAAACGGCUACCACAUCCAAGGAUGGCAGCAGGCGCGCAAAUUACCCAAUCCCGACACGGGGAGGUAGUGACAAUAAAUAACAAUACGGGGUUCUUUAGGAUCUCGUAAUUGGAAUGAGUACAAUUUAAAUCUCUUAACGAGGAACAAUUGGAGGGCAAGUCUGGUGCCAGCAGCCGCGGUAAUUCCAGCUCCAAUAGCGUAUAUUAAAGUUGUUGCAGUUAAAAAGCUCGUAGUUGAAUUUCGGGGUUAGUAGGUUGGUCAUGCCUCUGGUAUGUACUGGUCUCACUGAUUCCUCCUUCCUGAUGAGCCGUAAUGCCAUUAAUUUGGUGUUGCGGGGAAUUUGGACUGUUACUUUGAAAAAAUUAGAGUGUUUAAAGCAGGCUCACGCUUGAAUACAUUAGCAUGGAAUAAUGAAAUAGGACGUUUGAUUCUAUUUUGUUGGUUUCUAGGAUUGACGUAAUGAUUAAUAGGGAUAGUUGGGGGCAUUAGUAUUCAAUUGUCAGAGGUGAAAUUCUUGGAUUUAUUGAAGACUAACUACUGCGAAAGCAUUUGCCAAGGAUGUUUUCAUUAAUCAAGAACGAAAGUUAGGGGAUCGAAGACGAUCAGAUACCGUCGUAGUCUUAACCAUAAACUAUGCCGACUAGGGAUCGGAUGAUGUUAAUUUUUUAAUGACUCAUUCGGCGCCUUACGGGAACAAG